rnacentral:rRNA from 1 species
ACAGUGAAACCGCGAAUGGCUCAUUAAAUCAGUUAUGGUUUAUUAGAUCGUGUGUUCUACGUGGAUAACUGUGGUAAUUCUAGAGCUAAUACAUGCAACUGGCCCUGACUUACGGAGGGGCGCUUUUAUUAGAUCAAAAUCAAUCGGGUUCGCCCGUUUUUGUGAUGACUCUGGAUAACUUUUGCCGACCGCAUGGCCUUGCGCUGGCGGCGUAUCUUUCAAAUGUCUGCCCUAUCAACUUUCGAUGGUAGGUGACAUGCCUACCAUGGUUGUAACGGGUAACGGAGAAUCAGGGUUCGAUUCCGGAGAGGGAGCCUGAGAAACGGCUACCACAUCCAAGGAAGGCAGCAGGCGCGCAAAUUACCCACUCCCGGCACGGGGAGGUAGUGACGAAAAAUAACAAUGCUGGGCUUCAAGUCCGGUAAUUGGAAUGAGUACACUCUAAAUCCUUUAACGAGGAUCUAGU